AGAGUUUGAUCCUGGCUCAGAUUGAACGCUGGCGGCAGGCCUAACACAUGCAAGUCGAGCGGUAGAGAGGAGCUUGCUUCUCUUGAGAGCGGCGGACGGGUGAGUAAUGCCUAGGAAUCUGCCUGGUAGUGGGGGAUAACGUUCGGAAACGGACGCUAAUACCGCAUACGUCCUACGGGAGAAAGCAGGGGACCUUCGGGCCUUGCGCUAUCAGAUGAGCCUAGGUCGGAUUAGCUAGUUGGUGAGGUAAUGGCUCACCAAGGCGACGAUCCGUAACUGGUCUGAGAGGAUGAUCAGUCACACUGGAACUGAGACACGGUCCAGACUCCUACGGGAGGCAGCAGUGGGGAAUAUUGGACAAUGGGCGAAAGCCUGAUCCAGCCAUGCCGCGUGUGUGAAGAAGGUCUUCGGAUUGUAAAGCACUUUAAGUUGGGAGGAAGGGCAGUUACCUAAUACGUGAUUGUUUUGACGUUACCGACAGAAUAAGCACCGGCUAACUCUGUGCCAGCAGCCGCGGUAAUACAGAGGGUGCAAGCGUUAAUCGGAAUUACUGGGCGUAAAGCGCGCGUAGGUGGUUAGUUAAGUUGGAUGUGAAAUCCCCGGGCUCAACCUGGGAACUGCAUUCAAAACUGACUGACUAGAGU
rnacentral:rRNA from 1 species